GUGAAUCAUCGAAUUUUUGAACGCAAAUUGCGCUUCCUGGUAUGCCGAGAAGUAUGCCUGUUUGAGGGUCAGUAUUAACAAAAAAUUGGCUUGGUUGCAAAUUGUGACGUUUCCGGAGUUUGGGCUUAUCUUAACUUUUUUGGAUAAGGAGCUUAAAAUUGACCUUUUCUGCGCAUUUUUACACGAAUAUAAUUUUUUUUUCUUCUGUCUUUUCUUACUGCAAACU
rnacentral:misc_RNA from 1 species